GACGCACUCUGGCGGCGUGCUUAACACAUGCAAGUCGAACGCUGAAGCUGGGUGCUUGCACCUGGUGGAUGAGUGGCGAACGGGUGAGUAAUACGUGAGUGACCUUCCUUGGACUCUGGGAUAAGCCCGGGAAACUGGGUCUAAUACCGGAUACGACCAGUCCUCGCAUGGGGUGCUGGUGGAAAGGGUUUGUACUGGCUCUUGAUGGGCUCACGUCCUAUCAGCUUGUUGGUGAGGUAAUGGCUUACCAAGGCGACGACGGGUAGCCGGCCUGAGAGGGUGACCGGCCACACUGGGACUGAGACACGGCCCAGACUCCUACGGGAGGCAGCAGUGGGGAAUAUUGCACAAUGGGCGCAAGCCUGAUGCAGCGACGCCGCGUGGGGGAUGACGGCCUUCGGGUUGUAAACCUCUUUCAGCAGGGAAGAAGCGAAAGUGACGGUACCUGCAGAAGAAGCGCCGGCUAACUACGUGCCAGCAGCCGCGGUAAUACGUAGGGCGCAAGCGUUGUCCGGAAUUAUUGGGCGUAAAGAGCUCGUAGGCGGUUUGUCGCGUCUGCUGUGAAAGCCCGGGGCUCAACCCCGGGUGUGCAGUGGGUACGGGCAGGCUGGAGUGCAGUAGGGGAGACUGGAAUUCCUGGUGUAGCGGUGAAAUGCGCAGAUAUCAGGAGGAACACCGAUGGCGAAGGCAGGUCUCUGGGCUGUUACUGACGCUGAGGAGCGAAAGCAUGGGGAGCGAACAGGAUUAGAUACCCUGGUAGUCCAUGCCGUAAACGUUGGGCACUAGGUGUGGGGGACAUUCCACGUUUUCCGCGCCGUAGCUAACGCAUUAAGUGCCCCGCCUGGGGAGUACGGCCGCAAGGCUAAAACUCAAAGGAAUUGACGGGGGCCCGCACAAGCGGCGGAGCAUGCGGAUUAAUUCGAUGCAACGCGAAGAACCUUACCAAGGCUUGACAUACACCGGAUCGCAGCAGAGAUGUUGUUUCCCUUCGGGGCUGGUGUACAGGUGGUGCAUGGUUGUCGUCAGCUCGUGUCGUGAGAUGUUGGGUUAAGUCCCGCAACGAGCGCAACCCUCGUUCUAUGUUGCCAGCACGUUGUGGUGGGGACUCAUAGGAGACUGCCGGGGUCAACUCGGAGGAAGGUGGGGAUGACGUCAAAUCAUCAUGCCCCUUAUGUCUUGGGCUUCACGCAUGCUACAAUGGCCGGUACAAUGGGUUGCGAUACUGUGAGGUGGAGCUAAUCCCAAAAAGCCGGUCUCAGUUCGGAUUGGGGUCUGCAACUCGACCCCAUGAAGUCGGAGUCGCUAGUAAUCGCAGAUCAGCAACGCUGCGGUGAAUACGUUCCCGGGCCU
rnacentral:rRNA from 1 species